AUUACUAUAUACUUUUAUCCCCCAGUUAAUUUUAAACAUUUCUGCAUUAUUUAUUUAUCUUGAAUUUUCCUUGAGAUCAAUAAAGUAUCUAUCUAUCUAUCUAUCUUUAAUCAGCCCAUUGGUGAAACAAUCAGGCUCCAUACUCCCAGCUCGUCCUCUGGUCGCAGCUUGUCCGCUGUGAGGAACUGGAACUGAUUCAUCUGUCACUAAGUGAUGUGGAUGAGCCAUACAAAGACCUGCCAACACAAUAUAGACCCUUUUAAAUAAUCAUAGCAAAGACGCCACACCUUACCGCAGGUGGAGGAGGGCAGCAUCUACGGGCAUCUACUGUCUGUCUGGAGCGAAUGGCGAAGGCUCACGGCUCCCAGUGUGGCUUCUGCGCCCCAGGGAUGGUGACGUCCAUGUUCACUCUGCUGAGGAACAAACCUCAGCCCACCAUGGAGGACAUCAGGGAAGCUCUGGGAGGCAGACAGUACACACAUAUUUACAUGUAUAAAAUAA